CCUCCGUUCGUCUUCUCCCGCGCCGGCGCCGUCGAGGCCGAGUCGUUCCACUUCCCGCUCUGGCAGGUCUGCGCGGCCGCGUGCGGGGCGUUCGUCUUCUCCCGCGCCGAUGUCAUCGAGGCCGAGGCGUUCGACUUCCCGCUCUGGCAGGUCUGCGCGACCGCGUGCGGGGUGGGGCCGGCCGAGGUGGCGUCCCUCGACGGGCACACCAGGCUGCGCGCCGCCGCGGCGGCUGGCAGGACCGGCGCCGGCGUGGCCAACCCCACGGCCGUGGCCGUCACCCACGUGCUCCACAACAAGCACGAGUUCCCCUUCUGGCCGUGGCCACAACCGACGCUGCCGGUUCCAUGGAGGAGCUCACCCCGGCCUUCUCCUCGUUUUCCUCCAUGGUCGGGUCUCCUGGUGGAGGUGCCGAUGUUGCCGGUUCCACAAUGCAAGAGCCCGUGGCAACGCGGCAAACUGAAGUUGUUCGCCGGCGUCGCACAGGGCGUCUUUGGCGUCGCAGGAAACCCUACCUUGGGGUUGGCACAGGGCAUCUCUGGCGUCGUAGGAAACCCCACCGCGGGGCUGGUGCAAGGAGUGGCCGACCAUCCCACCCUGCUGAAGCCGCAGGGCGUCUCUGCCAAGUCCAUGGUUGGCGAGUCCAACAUAGAAGUUAAUUUUUCUCCAUGAAGUUGAUAUGAUGCGAAGCUGCUGCCAGAUUGAAGGUAUGCCUGCAAGGAGGACACUGUAAUUUGGUCCAACAAGUACACACAACAAUCUUCUGAUUGUUCAACAUUCUUUAUUGCGUGAAUUUCUGACAUAUCAGGAUGCAGGUACAUGACACUAUUGUGUUGUCUGCAGAGGUUCUCAUUCUGAAAGAAACUGCAACUAUGCAAGAGCUUAUUACGCAGAUUAUGAAAUUUGCAGUUCAAGUUCUGGACAUCAGAUUGAUACUUUACCAAAGGUGCACCAAUCGGCCCUCCGUCUCCUAGGGUGAUGGCACAAUGACAUCGACAGCGGCAGCAAUUGCGCACAGUACGGUUAAAAACUUUCUAUUUACUUGGGUCUGCUACCUCAGAUUGAUGCGCCAUGCUCAGGCAAUAAUAGUCCAAGCUUCAUCGUGUAAUAAGCUCCACCUGCGUGCACAGGUAAGUGGUUCUGGUACUGCUUCUGUUUUUGUUUGUUAUAUUUGCUGCCAGUCUGAUUGCUACUAUCUACUGUAUGUGCUUAUUGUUUGGCUUUGAAGAGAUAUUUGCUCGAUGUUAUGCCAAUUAAUUUCAAACAGAUGGUAAACUGUGAUUUGCUCCUCAAUUUGUAUUGUAUCUGAGAUCUCAUUUGUGCGUACAAUAUUAGCUUCUUCAUGGCAAUUUCAAUGUUACAUGUACCAUAAGCCAAUCAAUAUCUGCAUCGUAUUGGUCUGAUGCUUUCUUACCCUCUCAUCCUUAAUUAAUAGGCAUUUUCCAAUAUUGGUCUAUGCUUUGCAAACUCACUUGUAUUCUCCAUGUUAUUUACACGAUAUCUUGAAGGUUCAUGGUCCGAAUAUAAAUAAGAUUCGGUUCUUCUCUUAGAAACUUAGCCUUCUGCUUAUAUUUGCAUUUGCAAUUGAUGAUGUAAUUUGAGCAAAUACCCCAUAUCCUUUUUACCAAGUUUGGAUAAAAGCAUAUAUAAGUCUGAUUUUAACAAUAUUCUGUGAUCGACUAUGUGUUUGCCCAAAAUUUAUUAGAUGACGUGGAAUGCUUGAUUAAUGAUAUCAUUUUUUUUAUUUCUUUGUGGUUCCUGGUGUGAAGCAACAGAUUUGAAUAAAAAUAUUUAUUUAUUUAGAAACAUUUUUAAGUUUAUCUGUACAUAUUGAUAUUAGCUUGAAUUUUGAACAAGAAAUAGUUUCUUAAUACGUACUUUUGAAUUUUAUGCACUUGUAUGUACACUGCUACUAACGGUGCUCUUGAUCAUGUCAUACACGAGUACUAAUGGUGCAUGCCUUAAUAUUGGAAUGGAAUGAAUACCAGCUUAUGUAGAGAAGCAAGGCCUUUUCGUAUUUGAGGAAGAAUGUCAUGCAACCAUUCAAGAAGAAUAUGAUGGGUAUUCCAGUAAUCAUAUGGAUUAGUCUCUAUAGUUGUUGGCAGCCUAUAAAGCAGAGCGUCUCGCUAGCAGGGUAUUCCCAUUUAGAUUAUGUUUGCCCUUUUGAUCACCGGCACGGCUGUAGCCGUCCAUGUAGGCGUCGGCGGCAGUAGGGGGGAGGGGACAUCGGAGCCGUCGGUGAUAUUGGAGGAAUCAAUCUAGCCGACCAUCCUUUGAAUGACACAGUUUUGCUACCUCCCACUGAUAACCUUUAGGAGCUAUGGAGAGGAGGGUUAGGAGGGUGGCGAGCCAGCGGCGUGAAGAGAAAAUGUUAGGGUCACAAUAGCAAACGAGUUCAUCUUGCCUGGGUUGCGCUGAUAAGAAAGAAGAUAGAGCUUCAGGUGAGGCAUAUCGUCCCUAGGAAUUUGUUGGUAUCGAGGAUUGUUCCAGGAAGCACUUCUGAUGACAACAUGAUGUUGGGCCUCGGGGACAUGGUAACCAACAGAAACAUAUUGAAGCACAUUGUUGUCAUCAUCCACUUAGUGCCCGCCGGGUCACGCUCAGCAGCAACGGUGCACGGCGAUGG